ACCAAUUCCAGCAGGAUAUAUCAUUCCUCUUGGUUUAAUGGCUCGGACGCGAUAUUUAUUAUGUGGUUAUCCUGAUGGAUGGCUUCUCCACCAUGCCAUUUUAUCCUGGAAACGCCACAAAUAUUC